UCAGAACGUGGCCGAGAUAGUUAGGCACCUCCCUUACACUGAGAAUACAUCCAUGCAAGUUGGAUCGUUCUGAGCCU
rnacentral:tRNA from 1 species